GCGGACGUUGCGGGUCUUACCAUGCAAGUCGAACGAUGAUGCCCAGCUUGCUGGGUGGAUUAGUGGCGAACGGGUGAGUAACACGUGAGUAACCUGCCCCUGACUCUGGGAUAAGCGUUGGAAACGACGUCUAAUACUGGAUAUGAUCACUGGCCGCAUGGUCUGGUGGUGGAAAGAUUUUUUGGUUGGGGAUGGACUCGCGGCCUAUCAGCUUGUUGGUGAGGUAAUGGCUCACCAAGGCGACGACGGGUAGCCGGCCUGAGAGGGUGACCGGCCACACUGGGACUGAGACACGGCCCAGACUCCUACGGGAGGCAGCAGUGGGGAAUAUUGCACAAUGGGCGAAAGCCUGAUGCAGCAACGCCGCGUGAGGGAUGACGGCCUUCGGGUUGUAAACCUCUUUUAGUAGGGAAGAAGCGAAAGUGACGGUACCUGCAUA
rnacentral:rRNA from 1 species